AAAACAACUCUAAGGCAGUUUCUGCCACUAACACAAAGUUUGGACGAAAAUUGAUGUUAUCUUGACUUAAAACACUUAAAAACACAAUCUAAAACAAGUACUAACUAAUAUGACUUAAUAAAAUAAAGGGGAUUUUGGUUGUGGACGAAAGUAAGGAAAACAAAGCAAGAACAAUUUAAACAGAUUCUUAGACAAAUUUAGGUGAAUUGAUGGGUGAUGGGUUAAACUAUGGAUGAUGGGCUAGCUAGAUGGUUCUUAUCCACACAUGACAUACUGAUCACUCAUAUAUUUCAUGCAUUUAUACCAUCAAUUUCUAAAGUCUUUGUGAUGUUUUUGUGUUAAAAUGGUGGCAUUUUACCUUACCUUGUGUUAGUGUACAAUUAAAUUUGCUUUAGGAUUAAUUUCAAGCAAAGUGGAGAAAAAAAAAGAAGAAGAAAGAGACAGGACACUUUGUGUUUUGUAUAAUUGAACCUAAUCCAGUCCGUUAUUAUGUGCAUAUGGGUCCAGGAUAUUCCGUUUUCAAUUAUCUUUAUCCAAAGCUGCAGACCACUACAAUAAAGUACAUCUUAAGGCUUAAGUGGGGGGCUCGGUUAACAUGGCUGGGACAGAAAAAGGUUCAAUUCAUUUUGGUGCUGUUACUGUUUUUAGACAGGGGGCACACGGACAGAAAGAAGAUUGGCAGACAGAGAGGAGUGGAAGAAAAUAAAAGAAAAAAAAAUAAAGAAGGACAGAGGAUGACAGAGAGAAAGGCACACGGGAUGGAAACUGACAGUGGGAUGGAAACUGACAGAGAGGAAAAAACAGAGGGGAU
rnacentral:lncRNA from 1 species